AUGCCAAAAAAAAAACCCACGACCUCCCCUCCCCUCACUAGCCCUACCUCGUCUCCCGUCUCCAGUCGCAGCCGCCGACACACCUGCCGAUCCCUGCGCAGCGCACCCAUCCCCGCCGCCCAUACCUGCCGUCCCCUGCGCCACCCAUCCCCACCUCGCUCCGCCCGCCGCCUCCCCUUCACGCCGGCGCCCACUCGCCUCGCCUGCACCGGUCGCCACGCGCUCGCCCCGCAAGUGGAGAUAUUAUGCCUGGAGGCAAUGGCAAAGCUCCGUCAGUGUUAUGAUGAUCUGAAAGAGCGGUAUGUAGUUUCUGAUGUUACUGUUUCAGUACAGAACGUGGCUUCUCAGCUAGGCUACAGAAGCAUCGACUCUUUGAGCCUGGAGGACAUGGUCAUUGAGGUAUGCAAUAUAAGCUGCCCGCAACCCGAUGCCCUCCACGGACACCACCACCAUGAUGGCGGAAGGAAGAGCAAGAGGGUUCGUCGAGGCUGGGUGCCGCCGUGA
rnacentral:rRNA from 1 species